rnacentral:rRNA from 1 species
UGGGGAAUAUUGGACAAUGGGGGAAACCCUGAUCCAGCAAUGCCGCGUGAAUGAAGAAGGCCUUAGGGUUGUAAAGUUCUUUCACCUGUGAAGAUUAUGACGGUAGCAGGAGAAGAAGCCCCGGCUAACUCCGUGCCAGCAGCCGCGGUAAGACGGAGGGGGCUAGCGUUGUUCGGAAUGACUGGGUGUAAAGGGCGCGUAGGCGGUUUUUUAAGUGAGGCGUGAAAGCCCUGGGCUCAACCCAGGAUGUGCGUUUCAUACUGGAAGACUUGAGUGCGAGAGAGGAAAGUGGAAUUUCUAGUGUAGAGGUGAAAUUCGUAGAUAUUAGAAAGAACACCAGGGGCGAAGGCGGCUUUCUGGCUCGUAACUGACGCUGAGGCGCGAAAGCGUGGGGAGCAAACAGG